CGGUGCACCUCAGCGCACAGUCCCAGCGGCCAGGCUUGUCCCGCGCCUCUCGACCAAGUCUCUACGGUAAUGAUGAAGCCCCUGCUCUGGUCCAAGCUACCUGUGAACAGCGCCCAGCGGGCCGGGCCCCCAACCUCGCUCCUGAACGUACCCGCAAGCCCGCCGUGAGAAUUCAGCGAAGAGUAAAGGCUGGAGAAAGUUGCGUGUCUCAGGCUAAGCAGAGCAAAGUGGGGUGAGGGCUUCGCCGCUAGGAACAGAGAUGCCCUUAGGGAGCCCCCUGAUGGAAGAGCUCUCUGCUUAAGAAGGUCAGCACGCCCUUACACUCAGUUUUACCACGUUUUUCAAGAUCCAAGGCACAAUAGGCAUAAAGUUAUCCUGAAAAGGACAAGAGGAGUGUCAGAAGUAGGAAUGGCAGUCGAAGGAGCUUCGUCUGGCAGCAGAAAGCCAAAAUGACAGGCAAGCACAAAAUAUAUUAAUGAGACAAAGCUAUGCAUGAGCGAAAUAUCAAACUUUCAUCUUCUACCCACUUUUUUUUUUUUUUGCUUAAAAAUAGGAAGACAGAAUGUCUUGUCAAGGGUCACCCCAGGAGGAGGAGUAAAUUCUCCAAAAAUCAGAACAUAUUUUUAUGAUUUAAUUAAUGCAAUUUCUCUCAAUGUUUCUGUUUGUCAUUUGAGCAUCCACAUGAUCAGACCUGACAUCUGCCUACAUUUUAUUGGUCAUCUUUGACUUCAGUUAAGAACCCUUUGGGUUUUGCUUUUUGCUUUUUUUUCCCCCCAGCAGCACACUGUAGUAAGUUUGGAACAAGACACACCUGAAAUCAAGUCCCUGCUCUGGGCUGGGUGAUCUUAGAGGCAAUCUCUUAACCUCAUUCUACUUUAUUGUUCUCAUAGGAAAAGUGGAAAUGAGGCCUUUUACCCCAGGGUUGUUGAGAAGACAGGGGAGAAAAAGCACAUAAAAAUGCACCUUGUCGGGCGCAGUGGCUCACACCUGUAAUCCUGCACUUUGGGAGUCUGAGGCAGGUGGAUCGCUUGAGGCCAGGAGUUCAAGACCAGCCUGGCCAACAUGAAAAAUACAUUAAAAAUAAUGUCUCUAUUAAAAAUACAAAAAUUAGCCAGGCAUGGUGGUGCACGCCUGUAACCCAGCUACUCAGGAGGCUGAGGCACAAGAAUCGCUUGAACCCAGGAAGUAGAAGCUACAGUGAGUCGAGAUUGCACCACUGCACGCCAGCCUGGGUGAAAGAGUGAGACCCUGUCUGAAAAAAAAAAAAAAAAAAAAGCAUUUUGCCUGGCACCCAGUAGAUCCUCAAUAAAGGUCAUGUCACUUC
rnacentral:lncRNA from 1 species